rnacentral:lncRNA from 1 species
GAAAAACUAAGAGAGCUUGGGUGGAGAGUCUUCGGCUGAGUGAAGAAAGGGUGAAGAAAAACAGAAGGUGAGUUGGAGGGAAGCAAAAGGCAAAGGAAACAGGCAAGAAAGGGGCGACGGCAAGAAACCAGAGGGAAAAACUGAGAGACAGGAGAGGGGUAAGAGUGAAGCAAGGAAGAAAAUCUCGGACAGCUGAACAAAGGAGGGAGGAAACCAGUAGGAAAAGGAAGAAAGGAAGGAGUUUGGUGGCUGAGAAGGAAGAGCUAGGGCUACGGGAAAGAGCCAAGUAAGGAAGGAAACCAAAAAACUGAGGGAAGAAAGGAAAGAAAGAGAGCCGUGGGGAGCUGUGUGAAACCAAGCAAAGAAAAAGGAUGAGAGGUAGCUACAGGCUGAGGAAAAAGAUGGAGUAACAAGAGAGCUGGAGAGAGGAAAAGAAAGGACCUGGGUAAGAAAAGCUUUCGGCUAAGGGAGUAAGAAAGAAACAAGGAAGAGACCGGGAGAGUGAAAGGGAGAGAGAGGGAGGAACGGCUGAACAAGGAGGGUUUCUGCCUUCUGGACAGGGGAACCAAAGCAAAAGAGGGAAAAACUAGAGAGGAACCUGGGGAAAUUUGGGAAGGAGCUUUGGACGAGACCUUAACUUCUUUGCUUCACCAGACUUACGAAGUUUGCCCACUGACUUCACAUCACUUCACCAUCGAUUCAGUCUAUCAACUACUCGCAGGUAACGAAUACACCUUGAUUUAGCCAACUCAACCCUUUCUAUGAAGUUCGGUGAACCCUCGCAUGAGUUUUCUCGGUUAAUGCAUACUUCAUCUGUUAGCUCCCCUUUUUGUGAUCUCUUUUGAUUCAAAGAUCUGUGUUUUAAUGGCUAAAGAUUCACUAAAAGAGUAUUAGAAAUGGUUAGAUGUUAGAUCUUGAUGUCAUGGCCACAUAGUUGUCGAUUCUUGUUGGUCCCCCGGUUUGGUCUGUUUUUUUCAAAAGUCAGAGCCAAUUUCUUUUGCGGUUUUCUUCAUCCAAAUCUUCUCUGUUUGAUCUUCCAGAGUUGUGCACCAUAGUUGAGAUCAUGUCAAUUAAAUGGGUUGGAGUUUUGUCGGUUUUAGAUUGAUGAACUAAUGGGUUUUGUUUGAGUUUUGUAUGAGAAUACAUGUGUGGGAUGAACUGCAAGUUCGCAGCAGAAAAGGCUUCGUCCAGACUGCAUUUUUUCCGAAUAAAUGAUCAUGACUGUGGUUGACAAUGACUGUGAUUAUACUUUGUGAUGUUGUUGCGCUAUUGAUAGGUUUGGUGUCGGCUCCUUUGUUCAUUUAACGAGUAUCCGAAACUAUGAAUCCAAUUUAGAAGCCAUGAACACCUCUUGUGUUUAGUAAUCCGCAUAUGUAAUCAUCUCAACUCUUGUGUAUAUGAAGUCUGUAUAGUUGAUAAACUAAAAAGUUGUACUUUUGGUCCAUGUUUGUGCGUGUAAUCUGCGUCUAAGAACUCUUGGGGAUGUAAAGAAUGUGAUUUGGGUACGUGCAAUGGUGUUGUCUUGGCUUGAAAGUUUGAUACUCGCUUGGAUCUUGAUUCCAUCCGUGCGGCAUGAAAACCCAGCAACUGGUGGAAAGUUUUUCUUGAAUGAACCUAGAGUUGCUAGCUUUUUCCUCAUUCCAGAUUUUCCUCUCUCUUGUGUGCAUAACAUGGUGUCUUGAUGAUGAGUUUAUGAAAUGUAAUGAGAACUUGGAGGCCGAUCCUUGUUGUUGUUAAAGUUUUUUCUCGCUGCAUGAGGUUGCUGAGGUUUAAAAGCAUAAGAAAAGUUGCAGAAACUCUUCUUCUUCGUAGCUUGCCUGCAAAUCAAAAGAAAAAUUGCAUUUUAACCCCUCAAGUUUCCCUUUAUUUCGCUAUGGCCCAGAAAAUUAGAAAAUUUAAUCAAUUUUGUUCCUUUAAAAGGUUAUUUUUUCUUUGGUAUGUCUUAAUGUGUUUUUUGGACAGAUUGUUUAGGAAUUUUAGGAUAAAAUUUAGAGGUUUAAUAAUUUCUUGAUAGAUUGAUAGUUUUGAUUUGUUUCUUAGUAAAAUAAUUAGAAAUUUUGCGUGAUUUUGUUGUUUAACUAUAGCAAAUGGGUUUUCAUUCAUUUUGUGAAGUUUACCAUUUGAUUUUGAUAGGCUUCAUCUUAAUCUCUUUAUUUUAUUUUAUUUUAAUUUAAACCCCUUAAUAUUUGCAAUAAUAAUGACUUGACCCCUCAAACUUCUUUAAUUCUUUCAAUUGGGUCCUCAUUUGUUUUAAUUUGUUCACUAUAGAUUGUUUAUUUUAUUUGGAUACUUUGAGUGAUUCAAUUUCAUGUUUAUUUCAUAUGAUUAUUUGCUAAUUAAAGUGAUGCCUUGACCCUUUUUAUUUUUUUGCAGGAUAUAUAAGAAAAUCUUUUAUCUCAUUUAGUCACCAAUUCAAGAGAGGUACAUUCUACUCCUUUAUUUUGAUUUAUUUGAUAUUGUGUACUCCUGUGUGACUCUAUGUGUGAAAUUGCAUGUUUUUAUUUAUUUCUUUAUCCACUUUAUUUGUUAAUUUUGUGUAUUUAUUUUAAUUUAAUUUUUAAUUAUUUGGAAGGCAAUUAAAUGCCAAAAUUGUAAUAGUUAGGCUAUUAUUUAUUUCAUUCUUUACCCCUUUAGAUU